rnacentral:rRNA from 1 species
GUGGAGCAAAACUCAAAAAAAUAAGUCUCAGUUCGGAUUGAAGGCUGAAAUUCGCCUUCAUGAAGCCGGAAUUGCUAGUAAUGGCAGGUCAGCAUACUGCCGUGAAUACGUUCCCGGGCCUUGUACACACCGCCCGUCACACCAUGAGAGUUGGGAAUACCCGAAGCCUGUGAGCUAACUUUUAGAGGCAGCAGUCGAAGGUAGAAUCAAUGAUUGGGGUGAAGUCGUAACAAGGUAGC